AUUGAACGCUGGCGGCAGGCCUAACACAUGCAAGUCGAGCGGGUGACGGGAGCUUGCUCCUUGAUUCAGCGGCGGACGGGUGAGUAAUGCCUAGGAAUCUGCCUGGUAGUGGGGGACAACGUUUCGAAAGGAACGCUAAUACCGCAUACGUCCUACGGGAGAAAGCAGGGGACCUUCGGGCCUUGCGCUAUCAGAUGAGCCUAGGUCGGAUUAGCUAGUAGGUGAGGUAAUGGCUCACCUAGGCGACGAUCCGUAACUGGUCUGAGAGGAUGAUCGGUCACACGGGAACUGAGACACGGUCCAGACUCCUACGGGAGGCAGCAGUGGGGAAUAUUGGACAAUGGGCGAAAGCCUGAUCCAGCCAUGCCGCGUGUGUGAAGAAGGUCUUCGGAUUGUAAAGCACUUUAAGUUGGGAGGAAGGGCAGUAAGUUAAUACCUUGCUGUUUUGACGUUACCGACAGAAUAAGCACCGGCUAACUCUGUGCCAGCCGCCGCCGUAA
rnacentral:rRNA from 1 species